rnacentral:rRNA from 1 species
UACGAAGGGGGCUAGCGUUGCUCGGAAUCACUGGGCGUAAAGCGCACGUAGGCGGCUUUUAAGUCAGGGGUGAAAUCCUGGAGCUCAACUCCAGAACUGCCUUUGAUACUGAGAAGCUUGAGUCCGGGAGAGGUGAGUGGAACUGCGAGUGUAGAGGUGAAAUUCGUAGAUAUUCGCAAGAACACCAGUGGCGAAGGCGGACUCACUGGCCCGGUAUGACGCUGAGGUGCGAAAGCGUGGGAG